rnacentral:lncRNA from 1 species
GAUAAACUCAAACGGAUAUAGUUGGAAGUAACGAGCAAAGAUAUGAAGACUUAUGGCUUCACUGAAGGUAUUGCACAUAAUAUAGCAGAAUAACGGAUCGGGAUUCAUGUAGCCGACCCCAAUUAAUUGGGAAAAAGCUUUGACGAUGAUAAUGAUGACGACUACAAAAUACAACACGAGGGGCAGAACUAAAGCUCGCCUGGUCCAGGCUUGGCCCGGCACAUUCAUUGCCCUAGUCUAUUUAAUAUUUCAAAACCUUUAUCUUUUUUUUUAAAUAUUGAAAAUAUUCAUUUUGUGAUUUUGAAAUGAAUUCCAAAAUUCCAUAUAAAUACUUAUUCAUAAGUAAGUCUUUUAUUCGAGAGAGUCAGUGUAGAGUGCUCAAAUAAAACAAUUGAGUGCAUAGUGCUCUAACAAAAGAAAACAAAUAUAUGCUAUUGGUCUUUCCUAACAAAAAUAUAAACACUCCAGGACAAAAGGAACAAAAAUAAGAGAGAAGAUCUAUAAACACAAAAAAUGAAGAAGACAAAAAACAAACGUUACAAAAUGUCACCGCACUAACACAAACGAUUACGAACUUUCACCAUUUCAUUUAUGAACUACACAACAAUUGUUCUCAAUAAUAAUAAAUCUAUAAAGUAGAUAAAAACAAAUAUAGAACAACCUUGCGGAUUUCCACGUACAAUAUCUACGGUUUUGGUUGCAUCUACGAUCAUCCACGAAGAAAACCAACCAUGAUUACACGAUUACAUCCUCCCUUUGCAAAGUAUACAGAUAGUGACAAGUGGGUGCCUAAACUUUGGGUUAAAUCAUAUAUAUAGAGAAAAGAAUAAAAUUAAAAUAGAAUAUUCACUAUAAAAAAGUGGGACUUAGUACAAAAUAUAAAAUAUAUAGGACUAUUUUAAAUUUUUGAAAAUAAAAAAGGGAUUUUUUAGUUAAUUUCCCUAUUUUUUAUUUGUUAAUAUCAAUUUAUAUUUAAAACUCAUUAAUGGAAAAAAUAUAGGCUAUGAUUUUUAAAGUAAUGAAUUAACGGGUUGGUUUUUUUUCUCGAGCAAUUUACAGAUAGACAUAAAAUAAAUUUGGAAUAAGAAAUUAGGACAUUUUAUUGCGAGGUCCAAAAUUUGUUAGUUUUACCCCAUUUUGAGUUUCCAACUAUCAAACCACUCAAAACACAAUGAAACUAAGUGUUUGAAGGUCCAACUUUCGAACUGCUUGAACACUUUGUAUCAAACCACUCAAAACACAAUGAAACUAAGUGUUUGAAGGUCCAACUUUCGAACUGCUUGAACACUUUGUAUUUUUGUGUUGACCCAUUAAAAAAUUAGACUCUCGAACUAGGGAUAAAGUUCGAAUAAAAAACUAAAAAAUUUAAGGCCUCACACCUAAAACAUGAACCAGAUUUUAAUUCUGAAAAUUAUUUUGGGUCAGU